rnacentral:rRNA from 1 species
GCACUAAAUGGAUUAAUUAUUCAUUAAUUAUUUAUGAGUUUAUUUUAAAUACUUUUAAGUCCAUCUUAUAAAAAAAUUUAAAAUUUUUAACCGAAAAAAAUUUUUAUUGUAACUCGCCUUAUUUCUUAUUUAUUUGCUGCACUUUGAUUUGUAUUAAAUUUUAAGAUAAAGUUUUGAGUUUACCUUAAGGUAAAUUCACGACAACGGUAUACAAGCUAUAUUAAAUAAGUAUAAUAUUCUUGGUGACUAUCAAUUACAUGGUAAGUUCCCCUAAAAUACUACAUUUAGCCGCCAUAAUAUUUAAGUUUAGGCCUAAUAAUAAGCAUUAAUUCUUGUUUAAAACAUAUUAAUCUCCUUAUAAUCGGGUAUCUAAUCCAGGUUUAACUUUAGGAGGUUAUUUAAAUUAAAAUAUAGUUAAUUUAUAAAUUAAUAGUAUUUCACUACAUAUUAAAAUUUUGUAUAUAUUAACUAUUAAACAAUUACUAUAAAUUUACCUAAUAGGUAUGACCGCGGUUGCUGGCACCUAAUUUACCUAGGUUACAUAAUUAGCUAAAUUAAAAUUUCUUUAAUGGUUUAAAAUUUUUAACUGGAGUAAGUGUUUACAUUCCAUAUUAAAUUAGACUAUAAACUUAUUGAUCCAUCAUAUUAAAGUGGUGGUCUAAGGGGGUUGAUAACCAUUUUAGA